ensembl:lncRNA
UUUUUUUUUCACAUUCUGUCUCUCACAGUUGAAGUGUACCUCUGGUGCAAAUUACUGACCUCUGUCAUCAUUUUAAGUGGGGGAACUUGCACAAUCGGUGGCUGACUAAAUACUUUUUUGCCCCACUGUAUGUGGAUGCCAGGUCCUAGGAGGCUACAGAGGCUGCAUUUGAACGUGGCGUGGAGCUCCUAUGUAAGAGUCAUGUCGCUCAGAAAGCUGACAUUGCUCCAGAGAUGCAGCUGAUCCGGGCCUCAGCAGCUAUUGGACUUUAUCUGAAAAACUCAUACCCAGAGAUGAAAGAGAAUGUCAAGACAGCCUUGGCUUCAUUCCUCAACAGGCGGGUGGGCAAAUGGAUCACUGAGAAAGGUGGAUGGGGCAAAGUUGCACCUGUUUGAGACUAAAUCCAGCCAAACCAACCUCAUAGAGCUCUACAAUCAAACUGGGUAUUAAUUUCUUAAAUGUCUGUUCAGGGUUUUGUUAUCACACAGGCAGACAUGUUAUCACACACUAAGCCUGUUUAUUAUAUGAGAGAGAAGGGGGGGAAAAAAACAGAACACUUUCUCAUUGAAGUUCCUGCUUGGCUGAGCCCAUGUAGUGAUUCUUGGCUUUAUAUGUGGUGGUAAAAUAAUUGUAUUACUUGAAAUGCUCUCCCUGAAUGGGUUAAUAAAUAAAGGGCAAAUAAUAUAAAAAUAUGAUACCAGCGGAUCUUCACUACAUCAUGAUCUUAAGGGAGAGUCUUUUGAGUAAUCAGUGGGGUAGCCUCUAAUCAUGUCUAUUUAUUGUCUUUCUAAGUGCUGUCUUUUGGGAAGCUCUAGCAUUUCUCAGUAAGGUGAAAAUGCUUAGAUUAAUUAACAUUAUUUAGUAAGUUUAGGUGUGUUUUGAAUUCUUAAUGGGGAAAAACCUUAAAAAAGGGAUUUGUCCCUUUUGCAAAACAUGUUAAGAUUUUGACUCCAUAUGUACCUUAAAUCAUACUCAUUACAUUUUGCUAUCUUUGAUCGAGCUCUAAAUUCAUGUGUUUGAAAACAGUUUAGUGAAAUGCAGGUAGUCUGUCAUAUCUUGAGCCAUCAGAUGAUGAAGAACCUGCUGUCAGGUUGUUAUUUUUAUGUCUGCAUUUUAUUUAAUUUUUUUCACGAUGACAUAUUUGCACUGGGAAAAACUGAACAACUUCAAAAGUAGGUACACACGUGUUGCCAUUAGGGAUGUGCCAAUUGCAUUAAAAUAUUAAUUUGUAUGUCAGCUGGUAAAAUAUUUUUUAUUUUCUUAUUUGUUUCUUCUUAAUGACUCUAAACAGUAGUGGUAUAUACUUAAAUGUAAUGGUUAAUCCAACAUUAUGGACAAGGGUUUUAAUUGAAAUUAUAUUUCUAAUGCUAAAGUGUAAUUCAUGUUAUCCGUGAAUUUUCAAAUUUGCUGUUUUACAAAAAUUCAGAAAAAAUAGUAAAGCACUUAAAAGAAAAAGAGACCAACGGAAAGAUUAGUUGUUAGUGCCGGCUCAAAUUAAGGUCAGUGAAUUCAUUAAUUUUAAGUAGGUUUUUGACAGGAUUUCUAAAAUAAUGUUUGUUUUUCUGUUUCGUCAAUGACUGCUUAAUCAAUUUUAAAAGCAUUUGUUAAGCACUGUAUCUUUAAAUUUAGGAAACUAGAUUAUACAGUGAUGGAUAAAAAAAACAGUUAAUGCUAGAUUUGCUGAUGGCAAUCAAUGAAGCAGAUAUUAGGAAAUCAUGGUUAUUGGUGCUGUACGAUGAUGUCAUUAAACCCAGCAACAAAAGCAAAAAGAUGAAGCAAAUAAAAAAUGAAUGUAUAUUUGCACAUUGUUGUCAGUUAAAAGUGCAACUAAGCUUUUUCUUUUUGUAAUUUUUCUAAUGAUUCAAUAAAAAAAGAAUUUGAAAAUCUU